rnacentral:snRNA from 1 species
AAGAUAAUUUGGUCGCCGGUUGA